rnacentral:rRNA from 1 species
UACGGAGGGGGCUAGCGUUGUUCGGAAUUACUGGGCGUAAAGCGCGCGUAGGCGGCUUUGUAAGUCAGAGGUGAAAGCCUGGAGCUCAACUCCAGAACUGCCUUUGAGACUGCAUCGCUAGAAUCAUGGAGAGGUAAGUGGAAUUCCGAGUGUAGAGGUGAAAUUCGUAGAUAUUCGCAAGAACACCAGUGGCGAAGGCGGCUCACUGGCCCGAUACUGACGCUGAGGUGCGAAAGCGUGGGGAGCAAACAGG